rnacentral:rRNA from 1 species
UACGAAGGGGGCUAGCGUUGCUCGGAAUCACUGGGCGUAAAGGGUGCGUAGGCGGGUCUUUAAGUCAGGGGUGAAAUCCUGGAGCUCAACUCCAGAACUGCCUUUGAUACUGAAGAUCUUGAGUUCGGGAGAGGUGAGUGGAACUGCGAGUGUAGAGGUGAAAUUCGUAGAUAUUCGCAAGAACACCAGUGGCGAAGGCGGGCCAACUGGUCCGACACUGACGCUGAGGUGCGAAAGCGUGGGGAGCAAACAGGG